UCGCCAGCAGGGUAAUGUUGUUAUUGAUAGUACAUGCUCAAUGCCCGAAGGGUAAAUAGCCACUGUAUUAUGACGGUGCUAAGGUAGCGAAAUUCCUAGCCUUUUAAUUGGAGGCCUGCAUGAAUGGCUGACGAGCGCCCUACUGUCUCUCUUUCUGUGAUAUUUGAAAUUAACUUUUGCGUGCAAAGGCGCGAAUGGCUGAGUUAGACGAAAAGACCCUGUGCAUCUUUAUUGGAAAAGAAGUGAGUUUAAUUUUAAUCUAAUUUAGCUGGGGCAGCUGAGGAAAAGUUAAAAUUUCCUUAAUAUAAUCUAUACUAAUUGGUUUAGAUCCAAGGUCUUAAAAAGAUUUUGAUAAGUAGAAAAGUUACGCCAGGGAUAACAGCGUUAUCCUUUUGUGGAGACCUUAUUUGCAGAAGGGAUUGCGACCUCGAUGUUGAAUUAGGGACAUACCAGAAAGGCCAGAAG
rnacentral:rRNA from 1 species